rnacentral:piRNA from 1 species
UGAGAGCUAAGUUUAAUCUGGUUUU